rnacentral:lncRNA from 1 species
CUGGCUUCUCCUCCUGACCUAUACAGUAAAUACCUAUAGAGCACCUACUAUGUGCUGGACGCUGUGUUAGACAUUGGGGGGGGUAUGUCUUAGUUCAUUUGGGCUGCUAUAAGAAAAAUGCCAGAAACCAAAUAGCUUAUACACAACAGAAAUUUAUUUCUCACUGUUCCAGCGGCUAGAAAGUUUAGGAUCAAGCACUAGCUGACUCCCUAUCUGGUGAGGUCCUCCUCCUGGUUCAUGGAUGGCUUUCUUUCCAUAACCUCACAUGGUGGAAAUGGCGAGCUAACUCCGUGGGGUCUCUUUCAUAAGGGCACUCAUGCCAAACGGGAGGGCUCUGUCCUCAUGACCUAAUUACGUCCUAAAGGUCCCCACCUCCUACUACCAUCACCUUGGGGGUUAGGAUUUCAACACACGAAUGUAGGGGGACCCAGACAUUUAGUCAAUAGCAGUGUCAACAAAACUGACAAAGAUCCUCGUCCUCGCGGAGUUCAUAUUCAUUUUAGAUGGAGCCACGCUUUGUUCUUUUUGUUCAGAUGCUUCUCUGUAUUUCUGAGCCUCUUCGUGGGUAAAAGGGUAAAAUGGAGCAAGCUGCAUAAAAUGAGGCAACAGAGGUCUUGCACCACAAACAGCGCCGGCCGCCUGACCAUGGAUGGCGCAGGAGCGCUCUGCGGUGGGAUGAGCACGAGGCGAGGCCCCGAGGCAUCACCAGCGUCUGCGUGGGUACUGCUGCCGGUUCAGCUUCGGAGCUUCCCUCUUCCCGGGACGAAAUGCCUGACGAAGACGACAGUCUUGUCCCUGGAACCUGUGAUCUCUCUGCUCCCACGCUCUGGACCAGCAAGCUGCGGCCUGACUUGUGAAGCCUAGCUGGACUUGGAAGGAGACAGCUGGAGACACUGAUGAUGUCACAGUUUUUGGCAUAUAUUCAGAUGAACCUUAAUGUAUUUAUAACUAUGUCAUAUGAAGGAAGAUACAUUUAAUGCCAAACGAAAUACCGUGACUACAUUUAAUCAACAUAUGAGGAUAAUAAAGAAGUGGUUAGGCCCA